AUUGAACGCUGGCGGCAGGCUUAACACAUGCAAGUCGAGCGGAGAUGAGGUGCUUGCACCUUAUCUUAGCGGCGGACGGGUGAGUAAUGCUUAGGAAUCUGCCUAUUAGUGGGGGACAACAUUCCGAAAGGAAUGCUAAUACCGCAUACGUCCUACGGGAGAAAGCAGGGGAUCUUCGGACCUUGCGCUAAUAGAUGAGCCUAAGUCGGAUUAGCUAGUUGGUGGGGUAAAGGCCUACCGAGGCGACGAUCUGUAGCGGGUCUGAGAGGAUGAUCCGCCACACUGGGACUGGGACACGGCCCAGACUCCUACGGGAGGCAGCAGUGGGGAAUAUUGGACAAUGGGGGGAACCCUGAUCCAGCCAUGCCGCGUGUGUGAAGAAGGCCUUAUGGUUGUAAAGCACUUUAAGCGAGGAGGAGGCUACUGAGACUAAUACUCUUGGAUAGUGGACGUUACUCGCAGAAUAAGCACCGGCUAACUCUGUGCCAGCAGCCGCCGCCGUAA
rnacentral:rRNA from 1 species